AUACGAAGGUGGCUAGCGUUGUUCGGAUUUACUGGGCGUAAAGCGCACGUAGGCGGAUUGAUUAGUUAGGGGUGAAAUCCCGAGGCUCAACCUCGGAACUGCCUCUAAAACUGUCAAUCUCGAGACCGGAAGAGGUGAGUGGAACUCCUAGUGUAGAGGUGGAAUUCGUAGAUAUUAGGAAGAACACCAGUGGCGAAGGCGGCUCACUGGUCCGGUACUGACGCUGAGGUGCGAAAGCGUGGGGAGCGAACAGGAUUAGAUACCCCAGUAGUCC
rnacentral:rRNA from 1 species